rnacentral:lncRNA from 1 species
AGUGCACACUCUUCUUUAUUAAACGUGGGUAACUAAAUACACACGAAUCAGAAUUCAUAAAAAUUACCAAAGUAUGGGUAUAAAUGGACCGCUACUAUCAAUAAUAAAACAUGGAUAUACAAUCAACUUUUAGACAUUACUGUCCUAUCCAAUUUGAAAACAUGGAUUAUCCGUUAUAAUAAAUAAAAAUAGAAAUGGUGCAUUAGUAACUUAUUUAAACAUCAUGUAUCAUUGAAUAAUA